rnacentral:rRNA from 1 species
AUUGAACGCUGGCGGCAUGCUUUACACAUGCAAGUCGAACGGUAACAGGGUGCUUGCACCGCUGACGAGUGACGAACGGGUGAGUAAUGCGUCGGAACGUGCCGAGUAGUGGGGGAUAACGCAGCGAAAGUUGUGCUAAUACCGCAUACGUACUGAGGUAGAAAGUGGGGGACCUUCGGGCCUCACGCUAUUCGAGCGGCCGACGUCUGAUUAGCUAGUAGGUGAGGUAAGAGCUCACCUAGGCGACGAUCAGUAGCGGGUCUGAGAGGAUGAUCCGCCACACUGGGACUGGGACACGGCCCAGACUCCUACGGGAGGCAGCAGUGGGGAAUUUUGGACAAUGGGCGCAAGCCUGAUCCAGCCAUGCCGCGUGCAGGAUGAAGGCCUUCGGGUUGUAAACUGCUUUUGUACGGAACGAAAAGACUCUUUCUAAUAAAGAGGGUUCAUGACGGUACCGUAAGAAUAAGCACCGGCUAACUACGUGCCAGCCGCCGCAGUAAUAC